UACGAAGGGUGCAAGCGUUACUCGGAAUUACUGGGCGUAAAGCGUGCGUAGGUGGUUUGUUAAGUCUGUUGUGAAAGCCCCGGGCUCAACCUGGGAAUGGCAAUGGAUACUGGCAGGCUAGAGUGCGGUAGAGGGUAGUGGAAUUCCCGGUGUAGCGGUGAAAUGCGUAGAGAUCGGGAGGAACACCAGUGGCGAAGGCGGCUCACUGGCCCGAUACUGACGCUGAUGCACGAAAGCGUGGGGAGCAAACAGG
rnacentral:rRNA from 1 species